AUCUCUGAAACUGGAAACACUUAUCUCCCUCACUAGCUUUAAGCACCAACUGCCAGAGCAGCUCACAGAUUACUGCACCUGUACAUAGCCCACCUAUAAUUUAGCCCAAACAACUACCUCUUUCCCAACUGUAUUUCAUUUAUUUAUUUAUUUUGCUCCUUUGCACCCCAUUAUUUUUAUUUCUACUUUGCACAUUCUUCCAUUGCAAAUAUACCAUUCCAGUGUUUUACUUGCUAUAUUGUAUUUACUUUGCCACCAUGGCCUUUUUUGCCUUUACCUCCCUUCUCACCUAAUUUGCUCACAUCGUAUAUAGACUUGUUUAUACUGUAUUAUUGACUGUAUGUUUGUUUUACUCCAUGUGUAACUCUGUGUCGUUGUAUGUGUCGAACUGCUUCGCUUUAUCUUGGCCAGGUCACAAUUGUAAAUGAGAACUUGUUCUCGACUUGCCUACCUGGUUAAAUAAAGGUGAAAUAAAUAAAAAUAAUAAAAAUGAGAGGUAGUGACAUGUUGAAUGCACCGAUCUGUCUGUUUAAACUACUGGCACACAGCUCAGACACCCAUGCAUACCCCACAAGACAUGUCACCAGGGGUCUAUUUAAACUACUGGCACACAGCUCAGACACCCAUUCAUACCCCACAAGACAUGUCACCAGAGGUCUAUUUAAACUACUGGCACACUGCUCAGACACCCAUUCAUACCCCACAAGACAUGCCACCAGAGGUCUGUUUAAACUACUGGCACACAGCUCAGACACCCAUUCAUACCCCACAAGACAUGUCACCAGAGGUCUGUUUAAACUACUGGCACACAGCUCAGACACCCAUUCAUACCCCACAAGACAUGCCACCAGAGGUCUGUUUAAACUACUGGCACACAGCUCAGACACCCAUUCAUACCCCACAAGACAUGCCACCAGAGGUCUAUUUAAACUACUGGCACACAGCUCAGACACCCAUGCAUACCCCACAAGACAUGCCACCAGAGGUCUGUUUAAACUACUAACACACAGCUCAGACACCCAUUCAUACCCCACAAGACAUGCCACCAGAGGUCUAUUUAAACUACUGGCACACAGCUCCGACACCCAUGCAUACCCCACAAGACAUGCCACCAGAGGUCUCUUCACAGUCCCCGAGUCCAGAACAGACUAUGGGAGGCGCACAGUUCUACAUAGAACCAUGACUACAUGGAAGUCUAUUCCACAGUUCUACAUAGAACCAUGACUACAUGGAACUCUAUUCCACAGUACUACAUAGAGCCAUGACUACAUGGAACUCUAUUCCACAGUAUUACAUGGAACUCUAUUCCACAGUACUACAUAGAACCAUGACUAUAUGGAACUCUAUUCCACAGUACUACAUAGAGCCAUGACUACAUGGAACUCUAUUCCACAGUACUAGAUAGAACCAUGACUACAUGGAACUCUAUUCCACAGUACUACA